GUAAUGUCACAAGCAUCUUUUAACUACAAGUAUAUUUUCCAUAUAUUUUGAAGGAGUUGUCUGCUUGUUUUCUUUUUGUUUUUGUAUUUGUUAGUGACAUCAACAUCUGGUAGCAAUGGUAACGUUCUAAAGUAUCUUUUCGAAAUAGCUGUAUAUAACCAAUCAAAUUAUUUUAUGUACUUUGUUUUUCCUAUGAUAAUCUUACAGAUUAUAUCUUUUUUAAUUCAUUAUAAAUGACGUUCUAAAGAUGUUUUUUUUCUUUUUAUCUAUUGCAUUUUCUAGUCUUUAAUGGCAUCUGGUAGCAAUGUCUUUAAUGAUAUUGACAUCUGGUAACCUUGGUAAGGUUGUAUUUUUUCAAAAUGAUUAUAUUAAUUGUUAAAGAGGUUAUAUGUUUAUUAUUAUUUUUAUUUCGUAUUCCUAAGGUACAUCCAAACUUAAAAGCAAUGGUAAAGUUAUAUCUUUUCAAAAUGAUUGUAAAAGACCUUUUCAUAAGGCUAUUAUAUAUUUUAAUUUUUAAGAUGUCGUUUGAUAACUAUGUUUUAUAUUUUGCAUUUUUUAGCGGCAUCACCAUCUAUUAGCAAUGGUAAUGGUAUAUCUUUUCAAAAUGACUGUAAAUGAUCAAUAUCAUAUAAACAUAAUUAUUAUUUCCAAACAUUCUAAUUUUUUUUCAAUAUUAUGUUUAUUAAUGUUGGAUUAGUAAAAUAAAUAUAACAGCAAUUAUAACGCUUCAACCGUUAGUUUAUUUUUUCUCAAUAUAACGCCAAUAUAACGGCACUUCGAAGUGCCGUUAUAUUGGCGUUAUAAUAUAACGGCAGAUCGGCCUUUAUAUUUAGUGUUAUAUUUGCUCAACUCGAGUUGAUGUUAACGCUAGAUCUGGCGUUAUAUACUUUUUGUUAUUUUGGCGUUAGUUUUUUUACAAUGUGUCUUUUAUUACGAUCGGCCUAAUUAUUUUAUUUUAGAUCUAUCAGGAGCAGUUUAAAAUGCGAGAAAGAUUGCGUAAAAAUGUGAAGUAGAAGAUUAUUGAUAGUUAGCACCAUAAUGACGAAUAAAUGACGGUUGAAGAAAUGAUGGACAAGCUUUUACUCAUCUUAAACCUUUAUAUGAAUAUGAAUUGUAUUUUAGUUAACUUUUAUUGAAAUGUAAAAAAUUUAUCAAUAUAUAAUGUAUUGCAAAAA